UGCCCAGCGUACCUGGCUCUCAGCCGCGGGAAUGCCGGACUCGAGCUCACACAGAGCGCGGAAGUUGUGCAGCUCAAAGUCGGCGUCGACCUGGAGGGAAAAGGUCACCUCGGAGAGGUCCCUCCGCACACAGUACACGAGGCAGAGGACAAGCAAGGUCAAGAUGAACGCUGAUGAUGUAACAAGUCAUUCCUAGAAGAAAACAAUUCUGAAUAUUCAUUGGAAGGACUGAAGCUGAAGCUCCAAUACUUUGGCCACCUGAUGAGAACAGCCAACUCAUUGGAAAAGACCCUGAUGCUGGGAAAGAUUGAGGGCAGGAGGAGAAGGGGGUGACAGAGGAUGAGAUGGUUGGAUGGCAUCACCAAUUCAAUGGACAUGAGUUUGAGCAAACUCCAGGAGACAGUGAAGGACAGGGAAGCCUGGUGUGCUGCAGUUCAUGGGCUCACAGAGUCAGACACAACUUAUGGACUGAACAACAACAGUACAUACUGUAUAAUUAUGAUUUGAAAAAUAAAAUUAUUAGGGACAGCAUUAAAUAUUGAGCUGGCAUAAAGUUUCCAAAUAAAAUACAUUCCAAAUUUUCACUUUCUUCUGUGAAUGUAACUAUUUUUCUCUUAUUUAAAAAUUCUCUUUUGGAUGUAACUUUUUAAAUUAUUUUUAAAAUUUAUUUUUAAUUGGAAGAUAAUUUCUUUACAAUAUUGUGUUGGUUUCUGCUGUACAGUAAUGUGAGUCAGCUAUAUGUAUACAUA